rnacentral:lncRNA from 1 species
UUGUUAGUUGCGACAUGUCCUUACUUGUAUAUUUUGGUUGAAAGGGUGCGCAGACAAUAAAUGGGAGUUUUUGCCCAUCUUACAUUUAGAAUUACGCGUAAAGUGAUAUUACUCAUUAACCAAACAUAUUAAAGACCUAGGGUCUUUUGAUUUAAGGUCCUUGGUUUGUGACCUUGAAAUUGAAGUCAAGGUCAUAGGUAAAUAUGACGUUCUAGAUUUUGACCUUUGCUUUGAAUUCAUAUAAAUACAUCAUAAAGCCAUAGGAACUAACAUUUUAAACUGAUUUGUCAUAUUUCAAUAUCAAAA